CUCGUAGGCGGCUCAGUAAGUCGGUCGUGAAAGCCCGGGGCUCAACCCCGGGACGCCGAUCGAUACUGCUGUGGCUAGGGUUCGGUAGAGGAGAGUGGAAUUCCCGGUGUAGCGGUGAAAUGCGCAGAUAUCGGGAGGAACACCAGUAGCGAAGGCGGCUCUCUGGGCCGACACCGACGCUGAGGAGCGAAAGCUAGGGGAGCAAACA
rnacentral:rRNA from 1 species